CCUACGGGUGGCAGCAGUGGGGGAUAUUGCACAAUGGGGGGAACCCUGAUGCAGCGACGCCGCGUGUGCGAAGACGGUCCUCUGGAUUGUACACCACUGUCCCCAGGGACGAAAAUGACGGUACCUGGGGAGGAAGCUCCGGCUAACUACGUGCCAGCAGCCGCGGUAAUACGUAGGGAGCGAGCGUUGUCCGGAAUUACUGGGUGUAAAGGGAGCGUAGGCGGGGAUGCAAUUUGGGUGUCAAAACUACCGGCUAAACUGUUAGUGGCACUAAAAACUGUAGCUCUUGAGUGAAGUAGAGGCAGGCGGAAUUCCUAGUGUAGCGGUGAAAUGCGUAGAUAUUAGGAGGAACGCCAGUGGCGAAGGCGGCCUGCUGGGCUUUGACUGACGCUGAGGCUCGAAAGUGUGGGGAGCAAACAGGAUUAGAUACCCCUGUAGUC
rnacentral:rRNA from 1 species